GACUCAGUGGUCCAAUGGUAAUGAGUUUAACGCGGAAUCAGAGGGUCCUGGGAUCGACCCCCGAUCGGGUCG
rnacentral:tRNA from 1 species